rnacentral:sRNA from 12 species
UGCUGCAACAUCCCCGCGGAUGGGCUGGCGCGAAGCGAUCUUCCGCUUCGCUUCCAGAUGUGAAUCCGCUGCAGCU